rnacentral:rRNA from 1 species
GAAGGCACACCCGGAGAACUGAAACAUCUUAGUACCCGGAGGAAGAGAAAGAAAAUUCGAUUCCCUUAGUAGCGGCGAGCGAAACGGGAAGAGCCCAAACCAAAAAGCUUGCUUGUUGGGGUUGUAGGACACUCUAUACGGAGUUACAAAGGACGACAUUAGACGAAUCAUCUGGAAAGAUGAAUCAAAGAAGGUAAUAAUCCUGUAGUCGAAAAUGUUGUCUCUCUUGAGUGGAUCCUGAGUACGACGGAGCACGUGAAAUUCCGUCGGAAUCUGGGAGGACCAUCUCCUAAGGCUAAAUACUCUCUAGUGACCGAUAGUGAACCAGUACCGUGAGGGAAAGGUGAAAAGCACCCCGGAAGGAGAGUGAAAUAGAACCUGAAACCGUGUGCUUACAAGUAGUCAGAGCCCGUUAAUGGGUGAUGGCGUGCCUUUUGUAGAAUGAACCGGCGAGUUACGAUUUGAUGCAAGGUUAAGCAGUAAAUGUGGAGCCGUAGCGAAAGCGAGUCUGAAUAGGGCGUUUAGUAUUUGGUCGUAGACCCGAAACCAGGUGAUCUACCCUUGGUCAGGUUGAAGUUCAGGUAACACUGAAUGGAGGACCGAACCGACUUACGUUGAAAAGUGAGCGGAUGAACUGAGGGUAGCGGAGAAAUUCCAAUCGAACCUGGAGAUAGCUGGUUCUCUCCGAAAUAGCUUUAGGGCUAGCCUCAAGUGAUGAUUAUUGGAGGUAGAGCACUGUUUGGACGAGGGGCCCCUCUCGGGUUACCGAAUUCAGACAAACUCCGAAUGCCAAUUAAUUUAACUUGGGAGUCAGAACAUGGGUGAUAAGGUCCGUGUUCGAAAGGGAAACAGCCCAGACCACCAGCUAAGGUCCCAAAAUAUAUGUUAAGUGGAAAAGGAUGUGGCGUUGCCCAGACAACUAGGAUGUUGGCUUAGAAGCAGCCAUCAUUUAAAGAGUGCGUAAUAGCUCACUAGUCGAGUGACACUGCGCCGAAAAUGUACCGGGGCUAAACAUAUUACCGAAGCUGUGGAUUGUCCUUUGGACAAUGGUAGGAGAGCGUUCUAAGGGCGUUGAAGCAUGAUCGUAAGGACAUGUGGAGCGCUUAGAAGUGAGAAUGCCGGUGUGAGUAGCGAAAGACGGGUGAGAAUCCCGUCCACCGAUUGACUAAGGUUUCCAGAGGAAGGCUCGUCCGCUCUGGGUUAGUCGGGUCCUAAGCUGAGGCCGACAGGCGUAGGCGAUGGAUAACAGGUUGAUAUUCCUGUACCACCUAUAAUCGUUUUAAUCGAUGGGGGGACGCAGUAGGAUAGGCGAAGCGUGCGAUUGGAUUGCACGUCUAAGCAGUAAGGCUGAGUAUUAGGCAAAUCCGGUACUCGUUAAGGCUGAGC